rnacentral:rRNA from 1 species
GACGAACGCUGGCGGCGUGCUUAACACAUGCAAGUCGAACGGAAAGGCCCUGCUUUUGUGGGGUGCUCGAGUGGCGAACGGGUGAGUAACACGUGAGUAACCUGCCCUUGACUUUGGGAUAACUUCAGGAAACUGGGGCUAAUACCGGAUAGGAGCUCCUGCUGCAUGGUGGGGGUUGGAAAGUUUCGGCGGUUGGGGAUGGACUCGCGGCUUAUCAGCUUGUUGGUGGGGUAGUGGCUUACCAAGGCUUUGACGGGUAGCCGGCCUGAGAGGGUGGCCGGCGACAUUAGUACUGAGAUACGGCCCAGUCUCCUACGGGAGGCAGCAGUGGGAAAUAUUGCACAGUGGGCGGAAGCCUGAUACAGAAGCGCCGCGUGCGGGAUGCCGGCCUUCGGGUUGAAAACCGCUUUCGCCUGUGACGAAGCGUGAGUGACGGUAAUGGGUAAGGAAGCACCGGCUAACUACGUG